UACGAAGGGGGCUAGCGUUGCUCGGAAUCACUGGGCGUAAAGGGCGCGUAGGCGGGCCAGCAAGUCAGGGGUGAAAUCCCGCGGCUCAACCGCGGAAGUGCCUUUGAUACUGCGGGCCUGGAGGGAGGUAGGGGCGUGCGGAACUUCCGGUGGAGCGGUGAAAUGCGUAGAUAUUGGGAGGAACACCAGUGGCGAAGGCGGCUCACUGGACCGGUACUGACGCUGAGGCGCGAAAGCGUGGGGAGCAAACGGG
rnacentral:rRNA from 1 species